rnacentral:rRNA from 1 species
AGCGAACGCUGGCGGCAGGCCUAACACAUGCAAGUCGAACGAACACUUCGGAGUUUGUGGCGGACGGGUGAGUACCACGUGGGAAGGUGCCUUUUGGUUCGGAAUAACUCAGGGAAACUUGUGCUAAUACCGAAUGUGCCCUUCGGGGGAAAGAUUUAUUGCCAUUAGAGCGGCGCUCGUCUGAUUCGCUAGUUGGUGAGGUAACGGCUCACCAAGGCGACGAUCAGUAGCUGGUCGGGGAGGAUGACCAUCCACACUUGGACUGAGACACGGCCCAGACUCCUACGGAAGGCAGCAGUGGGGAAUCUUGCGGAAGGGACGAAGGCCUGACGCAGCCAUGCCGGGUAAAUGAUGAAGGUCUUAGUAAAGUAAUAUUCUUUCACCGGGGACGUUAAUGACGGUACCCGGUAAAGAAGCCCCGGCUAACUACGUG